AUAUAUUUCAAUAUGAAAAAUGCUUCUUAUACAUGACUAGUUACAAAAUGUUUUAUAUCAUGAUGAAAUAUCAAGAUGUAAGUAGGAAACUUAUUUGAUUGAUAAGAUUUUGAUCCAACUAAAUUUUAUCACAUUAUCUGUUAGUAAACUAUUAAGUAAAUUGUUAUGUACAUAUUGCACAACCCAUUUCAACAUUAUACGAAUGAGGUUUUCAACUAUUUAAACAAUAUUCAUGAAAAAUUUGUGCAUUUUAUUCAUCAAAUCCUUUUUUGAUGAUUUUUUUUCCCUUUCUAACAAAUUAUCAGAACAUUGCUAACUAAUACUCAUAAUUUAUUCAACAUGUAUUAAUAACUUCUUACCAGCUCAAGGUUGUUUUCCUAUCAUGGAAUCAACAUUUGUACAGGACUUAGUGACGGAGUUGGACAUUUUCUAUUGUGGGUCAAAAGACAAAUUGUAAAUUUUCUGAAACAACAUACACUGGUAGUUGAUUGAGAUUUGAGAGACAAGAACAGAUGUGUUCUGUGACUAAAUACUGGUGUUUAAUCCAAAGUCAAGUACACUCUAUCGUGAUCUUAGGAAUCUUUAACUCCCUUUACUGAGUGAGACUCCAUCCAUAUCCCUACUAGUGGUUACUUUUUCUCCCGCUUUCGACUCCCUCUAAUUUUAAAAUAAGGGAAGGGAAAGGGCCCUGUCGGUCUUCGUGGCUUCUACAGUGUUCAGUAUGUAGCAUUGGCAGAAUCCUUAAGGGGCUAUUCAUUUCAUCGUUAGUCUUCUUCUUGCAACAUGGAUCAAUUAUUCUCUGCAAGUGGAACUACUAGCAGUUCUCUCAGUUUAUUUCCCUAUUCAUUUAGUUGAGCUACU
rnacentral:lncRNA from 1 species